rnacentral:rRNA from 1 species
UACGAGGGGGGCAAAUGUUGUUCGGAAUCACUGGGCGUAAAGGGAGCGUAGGCGGGUGUUUAAGUUAGGUGUUUAAUCCUGGGGCCCAACCCCAGUCGUGCACCUAAAACUGGACAUCUUGAAUAGUGGAGAGGUCAGUAGAAUUGGGGGUGUAGCGGUGGAAUGCGUAGAGAUCCCCAAGAACACCAGUUGCGAAGGCGGCUGACUGGACACAUAUUGACGCUGAGGCUCGAAAGCAUGGGGAGCAAACAGG